UGGCGGCAGGCCUAACACAUGCAAGUCGAGCGGUAGCACAGAGAGCUUGCUCUCGGGUGACGAGCGGCGGACGGGUGAGUAAUGUCUGGGAAACUGCCUGAUGGAGGGGGAUAACUACUGGAAACGGUAGCUAAUACCGCAUAACGUCGCAAGACCAAAGUGGGGGACCUUCGGGCCUCAUGCCAUCAGAUGUGCCCAGAUGGGAUUAGCUAGUAGGUGGGGUAACGGCUCACCUAGGCGACGAUCCCUAGCUGGUCUGAGAGGAUGACCAGCCACACUGGAACUGAGACACGGUCCAGACUCCUACGGGAGGCAGCAGUGGGGAAUAUUGCACAAUGGGCGCAAGCCUGAUGCAGCCAUGCCGCGUGUGUGAAGAAGGCCUUCGGGUUGUAAAGCACUUUCAGCGGGGAGGAAGGCGGUGAGGUUAAUAACCUCACCGAUUGACGUUACCCGCAGAAGAAGCACCGGCUAACUCCGUGCCAGCAGCCGCGGUAAUACGGAGGGUGCAAGCGUUAAUCGGAAUUACUGGGCGUAAAGCGCACGCAGGCGGUCUGUCAAGUCGGAUGUGAAAUCCCCGGGCUCAACCUGGGAACUGCAUUCGAAACUGGCAGGCUAGAGUCUUGUAGAGGGGGGUAGAAUUCCAGGUGUAGCGGUGAAAUGCGUAGAGAUCUGGAGGAAUACCGGUGGCGAAGGCGGCCCCCUGGACAAAGACUGACGCUCAGGUGCGAAAGCGUGGGGAGCAAACAGGAUUAGAUACCCUGGUAGUCCACGCUGUAAACGAUGUCGAUUUGGAGGUUGUGCCCUUGAGGCGUGGCUUCCGGAGCUAACGCGUUAAAUCGACCGCCUGGGGAGUACGGCCGCAAGGUUAAAACUCAAAUGAAUUGACGGGGGCCCGCACAAGCGGUGGAGCAUGUGGUUUAAUUCGAUGCAACGCGAAGAACCUUACCUGGUCUUGACAUCCACAGAACUUAGCAGAGAUGCUUUGGUGCCUUCGGGAACUGUGAGACAGGUGCUGCAUGGCUGUCGUCAGCUCGUGUUGUGAAAUGUUGGGUUAAGUCCCGCAACGAGCGCAACCCUUAUCCUUUGUUGCCAGCGGUUAGGCCGGGAACUCAAAGGAGACUGCCAGUGAUAAACUGGAGGAAGGUGGGGAUGACGUCAAGUCAUCAUGGCCCUUACGACCAGGGCUACACACGUGCUACAAUGGCAUAUACAAAGAGAAGCGACCUCGCGAGAGCAAGCGGACCUCAUAAAGUAUGUCGUAGUCCGGAUUGGAGUCUGCAACUCGACUCCAUGAAGUCGGAAUCGCUAGUAAUCGUAGAUCAGAAUGCUACGGUGAAUACGUUCCCGGGCCUUGUACACACCGCCCGUCACACCAUGGGAGUGGGUUGCAAAAGAAGUAGGUAGCUUAACCUUCGGGAGGGCGCUUACCACUUUGUGAUUCA
rnacentral:rRNA from 1 species